CCUACGGGAGGCUGCAGUGAGGAAUAUUGGUCAAUGGACGAGAGUCUGAACCAGCCAAGUAGCGUGAAGGAUGACUGCCCUAUGGGUUGUAAACUUCUUUUAUAAAGGAAUAAAACGAGGCACGUGUGCCUUUUUGCAUGUACUUUAUGAAUAAGGAUCGGCUAACUCCGUGCCAGCAGCCGCGGUAAUACGGAGGAUCCGAGCGUUAUCCGGAUUUAUUGGGUUUAAAGGGAGCGUAGAUGGGUUGUUAAGUCAGUUGUGAAAGUUUGCGGCUCAACCGUAAAAUUGCAAUUGAUACUGGAAGUCUUGAGUACAGGAGAGGUAGGAGGAAGUCGUGGUGUAGCGGUGAAAUGCUUAGAUAUCACGAAGAACCCCGAGUGCGAAGGCAGCUUACUAAACUGUGACUGACAUUGAGGCUCGAAAGUGUGGGUAUCAAACAGGAUUAGAUACCCGAGUAGUC
rnacentral:rRNA from 1 species